CGCGUAGGCGGUUUAUCAAGUCGCAUGUGAAAUACCAGGGCUCAACUCUGGGGGGUCAUGCGAAACUGAUGGACUUGAGUGUAGUAGAGGAAAGCGGAAUUCCUGGUGUAGCGGUAAAAUGCGUAGAGAUCAGGAGGAACACCGGUGGCGAAGGCGGCUUUCUGGGCUAUAACUGACGCUGAGGCGCGAAAGCGUGGGGAGCAAACAGGAUUAGAUACCCUGGUAGUCCACGCUGUAAACGAUGAAUACUAGGUGUAGGGGACGCAGGUCUUCUGUGCCGGAGCUAACGCAAUAAGUAUUCCGCCUGGGGAGUACGGCCGCAAGGUUGAA
rnacentral:rRNA from 1 species